UUUGACCUCAAAUCAGGUAGGAAUACCCGCUGAACUUAAGCAUAUCAAUAA
rnacentral:rRNA from 1 species